rnacentral:rRNA from 1 species
GACGAACGCUGGCGGCGUGCUUAACACAUGCCAGUCGAACGGAAAGGCCCUGCUUUUGUGUGGUGCUCGAGUGGCGAACGGGUGAGUAACACGUGAGUAACCUGCCCUUGACUUUGGGAUAACUUCAGGAAACUGGGGCUAAUACCGGAUAGGAGCUCCUGCUGCAUGGUGGGGGUUGGAAAGUUUCGGCGGUUGGGGAUGGACUCGCGGCUUAUCAGCUUGUUGGUGGGGUAGUGGCUUACCAAGGCUUUGACGGGUAGCCGGCAUGAGAGGGUGACCGGCCACAUUGGGACGGAGAUACGGCACAGACUACAACGGGAGGCAGCAGUGGGGAAUAUUGCACAAUGGGCGGAAGCCUGAUGCAGAAACGCCGCGUGCGGGAUGACGGCCUUCGGGUUGUAAACCGCUUUCGCAUGUGACGAAGCGUGAGUGACGGUAAUGGGUAAAGAAGCACCGGCUAACUACGUG